rnacentral:rRNA from 1 species
ACUAACAAGGAUUCCCCUAGUAGCGGCGAGCGAGAGGGAAAAGCCCAGCACCGAACCUCGCGCCCUCGGGUGUCGCGGAAUGUGGUGUUCAGGAGGACCGUGCGCGUCUGUCCGGUAUCGUCCAAGUCUCCAUGAAUGGGGCCAGCAACCCAGAGAGGGUGUCAGGCCCGUGGUGACGAGCCGCGACCGUGCAUUGGGUCUCUCCUUAGAGUCGGGUUGCUUGAGAGUGCAGCCCUAAGCGGGAGGUAAACUCCUUCUAAGGCUAAAUACGGCCACGAGACCGAUAGCAAACAAGUACCGCGAGGAAAGUUGAAAAGAACUUUGAAGAGAGAGUUCAAGAGUGCGUGAAACCGUUCAGGGGGUUAAACGGGUGGGCCCUCGAAGGUCGAACGGUCCCCAUCACGGCUCUCGCGGGCCGGUCCGUGACGCGCGUGAUUCCUCUCGGAACACCGCGUCGCGGUUCUCCGGUUCGCGGGGGCUGUUAGCUGGGGGCCCAGUAGGACUCCGCAACCGGCUGGCGGGCCGUCAGAAGGGUUCUGGAGGAAGCCUCCUCGCGGGGUGGAUUCCGGGAUUUCCGGACGGUCCCGUCGGCCGUGAACCUAAAUUUCUCCCUUCACGGGGAGAAUAUAGCGGAGAGUAGUGUCGGGUCCCACCCGACCCGUCUUGAAACACGGACCAAGGAGUCUAACAUGUGCGCGAGUCGUCGGGUACUACAAAACCCGAAGGCGCAAUGAAAGUGAAGGCCGCCCUCGUUGGCGGCUGAGGGGAGAUCCCGUUCUGCUCCGGUAGCUCGGGCGCAUCCCCGGGCGUCGAAGCCGCGUUGCCGGCUAGACGCACCAAGAGCGUACACGUUGGGACCCGAAAGAUGGUGACCUAUGCCUGACCAGGACGAAGCCAGGGGAAACCCUGGUGGAGGUCCGCAGCGAUUCUGACGUGCAAAUCGAUCGUCUGAGUUGGGUAUAGGGGCGAAAGACUAAUCGAACCAUCUAGUAGCU